AAAAACAUGGCUCUUUGCUUAUAUAAAUAUAAAGAGUCGAGCCUGCCCAGUGAAUUUUUUUAACGGCCGCGGUACUCUGACCGUGCAAAGGUAGCAUAAUCAUUUGCCUUAUAAUUGAAGGCUAGUAUGAAUGGUUUAACGAAAGCAAUACUGUCUCCUUUUUAUUUUCAAGAACUUGACCUUUAGGUGAAGAGGCCUAAAUUUUAUUGAAGGACAAGAAGACCCUGUCGAGCUUAAAAGAUGCCAUAGAAGUCUAAUAUACUUUUAAAUAAAUUUUCUAUCAAGCUUUUUAGUUGGGGCGACUAAGGAACAAAAAAAGCUUCUUCUUAACAAUAAACAAUCAUGUUUAGAUCCGGUAGCAAACGAUUAAAGGAAUUAGUUACCGCAGGGAUAACAGCAUAAUCUCUCUUAAGAGACCUAAUCGAAAGAGGGGGUUGUGACCUCGAUGUUGGACUAGAAUAUCCUGAAGAUGCAGA
rnacentral:rRNA from 1 species